GAUAAAAAAAAAAAAAUUGUUGGUCGAUUGUUUUUUUUGUUCUUCCUCUCCCUCUCUCUCGAAAUUGCGAAUUGACAAUCAAAGGAGAUAGAAUCGGAGAAGAUUUGGGUUGGAUUAGAUUGAAUCGGAGGAGAUUGAAACGACCACGUCUCACUGUUCUUUCUCUUCCUCUCUCUCUCUCUCUCUCUCUCUCUCUCUCUCUCUCUAAACGCAAAUCUCUGGGUUCUCACAAGUAAAGGCAAGAGAUUUUAUGAAGACAGAUGGUUGCGGCAAAAGAGAACAAGUUUCUGACAGUGGCACCUUUCGUGUGCGUGAAGUGAUGAUCUGAAGUUCCGGGAAGCAGGAAGAGGUUGCAUUGUGUUUGAUGCCUUUGCUCACAAUGAUGUCACGGUGGUGUUCAGACAGAAUGUGGUGACUCAACAAUACCAUUAUAAGAAAGGUGACCUUCAUGCCAUAUGUGAUGAAGAAGGGUCGAGGGAGACACUCCAAGAGAAAGAAGCAUUAAGCCCGGUUGUUAAAGCUCUUGUUAACCCCGACGGAGCAAUGAGAGACAUUCGCGAAGGUGAGAAUCUCUUUUUGGGUAGCAGUUCUGAUGUACAUGUACAUAGUGGUUCUCAGUUUUUGUUUAUUCUCAAUGAACAUCCAGAUGUUUACAAAUGGGAUGAGUGAAAGCCAUUCAUCAACGAUUCUCUCAUUUUAAUUUCAAAAAACUAUAUUUUAAAAAAUAAGAAACUCAAAAUUAUAUCUCA